rnacentral:rRNA from 1 species
GGGCCCGCACAAGCGGUGGAGUAUGUGGUUUAAUUCGAUGCAACGCGAAGAACCUUACCAGGGUUUGACAUCCUGCGAAUCUCUUGGAAACAGGAGAGUGCCUUCGGGAACGCAGUGACAGGUGGUGCAUGGCUGUCGUCAGCUCGUGUUGUGAAAUGUUGGGUUAAGUCCCGCAACGAGCGCAACCCUUAUCCUUGUUUGCCAGCGAGUAAUGUCGGGAACUCCAGGGAGACUGCCGGUGAUAAACCGGAGGAAGGUGGGGACGACGUCAAGUCAUCAUGGCCCUUACGAGUAGGGCUACACACGUGCUACAAUGGCGCAUACAGAGGGCGGCCAACUUGCGAGAGUGAGCGAAUCCCCAAAAAGUGCGUCGU